CCUACGGGAGGCAGCAGUAGGGAAUAUUGCUCAAUGGGGGAAACCCUGAAGCAGCAACGCCGCGUGGAGGAUGAAGGUUUUCGGAUUGUAAACCCCUUUUGUUAGAGAAGAUAAUGACGGUAUCUAACGAAUAAGCACCGGCUAACUCCGUGCCAGCAGCCGCGGUAAUACGGAGGGUGCAAGCGUUACUCGGAAUCACUGGGCGUAAAGGGCGCGUAGGCGGGAUAGCAAGUCAGAUGUGAAAUCCUAUGGCUUAACCAUAGAACUGCAUUUGAAACUGUUAUUCUAGAGUAUGGGAGAGGUAGGUGGAAUUCUUGGUGUAGGGGUGAAAUCCGUAGAGAUCAAGAGGAAUACUCAUUGCGAAGGCGACCUGCUAGAACAUAACUGACGCUGAUGCGCGAAAGCGUGGGGAGCAAACAGGAUUAGAUACCCCAGUAGUC
rnacentral:rRNA from 1 species